AGGGGACGCGCCGCCGGGGGAGCGCAGUGUGGGCCUGAGCGUCGUCGCGCUCGCGGGUGGCGGCCGAGCCUCCGAAGGUUCUGGAAGGUCAGUGAUUCCCGACCAGCACCCUUGCCCCUGAGGCUCUGCUGUGGGGGCUCAGCCGUCCCCAAUGUGCACCUCGGGGUCCGCUGAUCGUGUGCAGGCACUGGAGUGGCAGGAGGUUCCCGGGGCGCACUGCUGAUCCUAUGCAAGUUCCAGUCCCUGCAGGAAACGAUGCUCUUCUGGGCCUUGCUCCUCGCUGUCGGGUGGCCCGAGGUCACCCAUGGAAUUGAACAUUGGCCCUAUAAUAUGAGAUGUUAUGAUUGUGCAGUUGUCAACAAUUUCUAUUGUGCCACAACUAGGGCGUGUGAGGAGGAUCGGAGGCGCUGCCUGACAAUCUCUGUUCGUUUGAAUGAACGUGAAAUAAUUGUUUACAAGAACUGUACAUACAACUGCACGUUUGUAUACCCAUCUGAAGUACCUCCUGAAGCCCCAAGAGCAAAGUAUUUCAAAACUAAUAGUUACUAUUUUGUUCGUUGUUGUAAUACUAUUAAUUGCAAUGAAGGUGGACCUUUAAGUCUGGAUAAUGAUAUAAUCCUUCAGAAGCCAAUUGAAGAGCCUUUAUCGGGAAUUGUGCACUGGGGGGAGUACAGGUUUUAUCUGACUGUUGCUUCCAUCCUAGUCAGCAACACACUGACAUGAGAGGCCCUCUUGGGGGGGGGGUCUGGUCUCUCCCCCAUUCCUCAGAGCAAGUUCACUCCUCUUCCUCCCUGUGAGCCAGGGACACUGACCCACCGGGCUCCCCGUUGGUGGCUAACCCCUUUCCAGCUUAUUUCAAGAAAAGAAUAAAGAACAUUAUUGUUGGG